CCUACGGGAGGCAGCAGUGGGGAAUAUUGGACAAUGAGGGCAACCCUGAUCCAGCCAUGCCGCGUGUGUGAAGAAGGCCCUCGGGUUGUAAAGCACUUUCAGUGAGGAAGAACGCCUGGUGGUUAAUACCCAUCAGGAAAGACAUCACUCACAGAAGAAGCACCGGCUAACUCCGUGCCAGCAGCCGCGGUAAUACGGAGGGUGCGAGCGUUGAUCGGAAUUACUGGGCGUAAAGCGCGCGUAGGUGGCUUGAUAAGCCGGUUGUGAAAGCCCCGGGCUCAACCUGGGAACGGCAUCCGGAACUGUCAAGCUAGAGUGCAGGAGAGGAAGGUAGAAUUCCCGGUGUAGCGGUGAAAUGCGUAGAGAUCGGGAGGAAUACCAGUGGCGAAGGCGGCCUUCUGGACUGACACUGACACUGAGGUGCGAAAGCGUGGGUAGCAAACAGGAUUAGAUACCCCGGUAGUC
rnacentral:rRNA from 1 species